GGGGAAAGAAAAUCUUCUCUUGUUUGAGAGUGUGUGUGUGUGUGUGUGUGUGUGUGUGUGUGUGUGUGUGUGUGUGUGUGUGUGUGUGUGUGUGUGUGUGUGUACAUAUGUAACCAAAUGAGGCUGUGACAUGAACUGCCAAACCCCGGACACAGGACUCAUGAAAAUGCUAAUGCUAGCCGGAUUAGCGCCUUGGCUCAGGAAAUAUCCUUCAACUAUUGGUGAUAGCAAAAUACCCCACUGUUCCUUUCUUCCCCUUUGAUUUCCCUUUCAGUCCUGCACGCUAUUCUGGUGACUUUGUUCUUUUGCCUUCAUGUCCUUCUUCCUCCUUUUUUUGUCUUUUUGUCUUUCAUCAGCCAAAUGUUCUCACAUAACAUUUUAAAUGAUACAACAAAUGUCUCCUGUCCACACUGUAAUUCUUCACAUUGAUUUGUAAAAAAUACAUUUUCUUUUAAAUUGUUUUCUCUUUAGUUAGCUGAAUUUACACAAUAGUUUUACAGUGUAUGACACCUUUCUGAUCAAUCAUAUGGGUGACUUUAUUAAGUGGUUGGCCUGAAGAGGCUUAAGCUUGCUUUUGCCUUAUGAUCACUUGUUUUUGUUGUGGAUAACUGAUCACAAUAAAAUGACACCAUCACCUGGUGGUUUUAAAUCGAAAAGCUCUCAACAAGAGUUCAAGGUAUCUGAAACUUUUUUAAUUCACACUUAAGAACAACAUACAUAACAGCCACAUAGAAGGCCAAAAGUAGACGUAGUGAUUUAACACUUAAUUU